GAUGAACGCUGGCGGCGUGCUUAACACAUGCAAGUCGAACGAAGCACUUUAUUUGAUUUCCUUCGGGACUGAUUAUUUUGUGACUGAGUGGCGGACGGGUGAGUAACGCGUGGGUAACCUGCCUUGUACAGGGGGAUAACAGUUGGAAACGGCUGCUAAUACCGCAUAAGCGCACGGCAUCGCAUGAUGCAGUGUGAAAAACUCCGGUGGUAUAAGAUGGACCCGCGUUGGAUUAGCUAGUUGGUGAGGUAACGGCCCACCAAGGCGACGAUCCAUAGCCGACCUGAGAGGGUGACCGGCCACAUUGGGACUGAGACACGGCCCAAACUCCUACGGGAGGCAGCAGUGGGGAAUAUUGCACAAUGGGCGAAAGCCUGAUGCAGCGACGCCGCGUGAGCGAAGAAGUAUUUCGGUAUGUAAAGCUCUAUCAGCAGGGAAGAUAAUGACGGUACCUGACUAAGAAGCGCCGGCUAAAUACGUG
rnacentral:rRNA from 1 species